rnacentral:rRNA from 1 species
GCCGGAGGAUGCAAGUGUUAUCCGGAAUCACUGGGCGUAAAGCGUCUGUAGGUGGUUUAGCAAGUCUGCUGUUAAAGCUUGAAGCUUAACUUCAAAAAUGCAGUGGAAACUUCUAGACUCGAGUGUGGUAGGGGUAGAGGGAAUUUCCAGUGGAGCGGUGAAAUGCGUAGAUAUUGGAAAGACCACCAAUGGCGAAGGCACUCUACUGGGCCAUAACUGACACUGAGAGACGAAAGCUAGGGGAGCAAAUGGG